ACAGGGCAUCUGUCUCUCCUCUGUGUCAAUGACAGCCUGAAUGAAGACAUGCGAUGUCCUGACACUGGUGUCCACCUCUCUGGACAGGAGGUUCUCAGAAAAGCUAAAGCCAGACCUACAAACGAGUGCAGUCUGAAUGUACCCCAUGGAGGCCGAACGAAUAUCCCACAAUUCACCUCUUCAGCCCAACAACAUCAUGUGUCUUCACUGAAUUCAUUCCUCAAAUCUGCGUGUUUUGGUAUUCAAACUCUAAACCUGUUCACUUUAGAUGAUAAACACAAGAUUUGUAUGCUUUGUUCAGGUUUCUUCUUGAAUAGGCUGUAAUUUAUUGGCAGUUUGCAUCUUUUUAACUAAUCUUCGCACUGUAUUUGAGAGCAGGAUCAGGUACGUGUGUGUGUACUGUAUGUUUUGAAAAUGCAAUUCUUACACAGUUGGCACCUUGAUAUUGUUAUAACCCUGAUCUAGGGCAUCAAGGAAGUAACAUAAAAGAUACAGCAUAACAAUUAAAAGAUGUUUUUAGGA